AGAGAGAGACAUGCGCGCAUAUCAAUAAGCGGAGGAAAAGAAACUAACUAGGAUUCCCUCAGUAACGGCGAGUGAAGCGGGAAGAGCUCAAAUUUGAAAUUUUCAAGGUUCUACCUUGACGAAUUGUAGUUUAAAGAAGUGUUUUCUGUUGGAGUUUUGGUAAAAGGUUCUUUGGAAUAGGACAUCAUAGAGGGUGAGAAUCCCGUAUUUGACCAUUAUUUCCAGCUUUGUGAUACACUUUCAAAGAGUCGGAUUGUUUGGGAAUGCAGUCCAAAAUGGGUGGUAAAUUUCAUCUAAAGCUAAAUAUUGGCGAGAGACCGAUAGCGAACAAGUACCGUGAGGGAAAGAUGAAAAGAACUUUGAAAAGAGAGUUAAACAGUACGUGAAAUUGUCAAAAGGGAAGCGUUUGACACCAGUGUUGUUUUCUCGAAAAUCAAUUAAAAAAGGCAGGAUUUUGUGUUGUAUUGACUUUAUCAGCUUUCUGCACUCUUUUCUUGUCUUUUUUAAUGCACUUUUCGUUUAACAAGUCAACAUCAAUUUCUUUUGUUGUAAAAGGGUCAUUGGAAGGUGGCUUUCUUUUCGGAGAAAGUGUUUAUAGCCUUUGGCCUCUGCAAUCGGAGAGAUUGAGGUCUGCAGCGUAGAUCCUUCGGGGUUAGAUACAUUUGUGCUAAGUUAUAGCCUUUCAUAGACAACUUGUUGACUAUGAUCAGUCAUGUAGCUUACUCGCUUAUGCUAUUUUACCUACGCUUAGGAUGUUGAUGUGAUACUGCGAGCA
rnacentral:rRNA from 1 species